rnacentral:lncRNA from 1 species
AAUAUAUAAAUAACAAAUAAAUGUUAGCAUAUUGUUUAAAAUCUAGUAUGUUUAUUGCUGUCUAUAUAAACAUCAGUCUUUUUUAAUAUGUGUAACAUUUUAUUUUCAGACGAUUUUGCUUCUUCUGCAUGGUGUCUUUAAUUCACUGGUUUAAACAAAAUGGGUUUAGCUGAUGAAGAUAAUUGGGUGCUAAGAAGAAUUGAAAAUAUCUUCAAACAUCUGUCUCUUGAAGUGGAAGUCCUUAAGAAAAACAAGAAGAAAAACACUGAAAUAAACCUGCCUUUCCAUAAAUGCAUUUAGGAGUUGUAGAGCUCUUCAACCUUUUUUUUUCCCCACAUGUUCCACUUUGUCUGAAGCUCCAUGUAUUCUCUAUGGAUGGACUAAGAAGAAAGCUUGAGCAAAACUCUGUCAGCUCUUGGAAACAGCACACAUUAACUGUCAUCUAGAAGAGUACUUGGAUUUAAGGAGGGGACAUCUGCCUGAGAGGCAGCAACACAUGUGGGUGUCCUGCCAGCAAUACUACGUUGGUAUGUCCUCCUGUUAAAAGAAAACCUCUGCGUGCACUUUUGUAAUUGAGGUGUUUCUUAGAAAAGAACACCUUCGGUUCUUGCUAUCCACUCCCAAAUCUUUCUCAAAACUUUCUCUGGCCGUAAUACCUACAAAUGACUUCACAAUGGGGUACUGCAGCCACAGUUUCCUUGCUGGGAUGUUGUCACUUCUUUCUGAAUUCUUUCUGUUGGUAGGUUCCCAUCUGUUGUUUCUUGUCCAAGAUUGAAGUUCUGUGCUGAUGAAAGCAUGUACAUGAGGGCACAGCAAGUAGUAGCCUCAGCAGUACUGGGGCACAGCAUUGUCUUCUCUCUCCUCAGAGGAGCCUUCUCCCCAAGAAAAAGAUGGCUAAGUGGAUGCAAAUUGUAGCAAAAGACAGUGCAGAAGAGUCUUUGGCAUCUAUGGCAGUUCAAAAAAGAUGGCCUCUGUACUGUGUAGGCUUUAAAUCUGUUAUGACUUGACAAGAUGAAGGUCAGGAUUAAGAUCCUUUUCUCCUCCUUUGCCUUAAGGGUGAGGAGGCAGCUACCACCACAUUUCUAAGUCUUUUGAGAAAGAAAAU